CUGACUCAGGAGCCCAGCUGGCUUCCCCUAGUGAAUCCUGUGCUGGGGACACGCUAGCAGAGCUGCCUGCCAGUCCCGCGCAGGCACGCCCACACCCCUCAGUCCUUGGGCAGUGGAUGGGACCGGGCGCCUAGGAGCAGGGGGCGGCGCCGGUCGGGUAGGGUCGGGCUGGCGGGAGCCCGGGGCGGGGCUUGGGCAUGGCUGGCUGCAGGUCCCCAGCCCUGCCACACGGGGAGGCGGCUGAGGCCCAGCAAGAAUUCAAGCUCCGCGGGGGCAGGCCAGCAGUGCUGGGGGACCCGGCGCACCCUCCGCAGCUGCUGGCCCGGGUGCUAAACCCCUCACUGCCCGGGCCGGCGGUGCCGGCGGGCUGCUCUCAGUGCGGGACCUCGGAGCCUGCGCCCACCCGGAACUAGCCGCGUUCAGCCCUGGUUCCCGCCCCCGCCUCUCCCGCCACACCUCUCCACAAGCAGAGGGAGCUGGCUUCAGCCUCAGCCAGCACAGAGAGGGGCCCCCAUAGCGCAGUGGCGGGCUGAAGGGCUCCUUGAGCAUGGCCAGAGUGGACGCCAAGGCUGAGGAGGCGCCGAGAGCCAGUGAGGGCUGCUAGCAUGUUGUCACCUCUCAAUACAUAAAACUACUGGAGGGUGGUUCCAAGAUGGCCAAAUAGGAACAGCUCCAGUCUACAGCUCCCAGCAUGAGUGAUGCAGAAGACGAAUGAUUUCUGCAUUUCCAACUCAGAGAGCUGACUUUAGAGGGAUCAAGAAUAGCUUGCUGGAUGGAAGGAGCUCUCCCUCCCAUACUCCAAUUGAAGAGACCACAUGUUGACAUGGUGGAACCACCUGAUAGAAGCACCUGAAUCACCACUGGAAGAAUAGCUGUUCUGGAGAGCCCUUCAAAACCUAAAUUGGACUCUGCAUAAGCAAGAAAUCAAUUUUCAAAUCUUGGGGCCAGUCAUCAUCUUAAAGGCUCUGUGGCAGCUUGGACUUGAAGUAGGGUGCACCCGGAAUUGACCAAUACAAACAGUGGACUGCACUGGAUUCUUCUUGUGCCCUGUCUCAUAUCCUCUUGUCCCACCUUUUCAUAACAGCCAUUGCCAUGGGAACCAGCUGCAUCCAGAUCACAUCCAGGGGCCAAAACCAGUUCUGUGAGCCACUGGAUGAAGACAUUGACCAACUAGAAAGCAUCUGCAGAGGUCAAGUAGGACCAUGGGAGAUCCAGAUUCCAUUUAAACAAGAAUGCCUUAAAGAAGUGGGAAUAUUUAGCCUGAGUGAGAGAAAAUGCUCUUACUCUGUGUGUGAUCAGAGGAGGAGAAAGGAGGACAAAGUUACAUCAAUGUGAUCAGCAACCAUUUGAUAGAGCUACUGUGCUCAAGAGGGGACAGUUUGAUUUAUACGUUUGACAAGGUGGAGCCAGGAUCAAUGAGUGAACAUUAAAGGAAAGAAUAUUUGGGCUCAAUAUUUGGGCUCAAUAUUUUGGGCUCAAUAAUUUGGGCUCAAUAAGGAGGACUUUCCCAAUAAUUACAACGUUCCAAACUUGAAAUGGGGUGUCUCAAAAAGGAGUGAGUGCCCUGUUACUGAAAACAUUUAGGUUAGGGCUAAAUAGCCAUCAAUUAGGGUGAUAUAAUGAGAUUCCUGUGACUGUUCCAACAAGCAUCUGGUGUGCACCAGUCAUGUAGAUUCUAAGAGACACUGAGAGCAAAGAGAAACACUUCCUCCCUCAAAGAGCUCAGGGUUUCAAGAGACUGACAUGUAAACAAACUGAUAAUAAUGGCAAUUUGGUAUAACAUAUGCAAUUUGGAGUAACGUGUGCAAAGGAACAUGGGCCAAAUUUUAACUACUAGAGAGAGAAAAGCUGAUGCUCUGCUAGGGGUAGGAGGAGGCUGAGAAUGAAACUAGAGAGGAUUUUAGGGAGAAGGUAAUGUUGAGCAGAUUUGAAGGAUAUGUAGGAGUUUUUUGUGGACACUAUUGUUCAAUUAAUGCUGGUCAAUAAGGAGAACACUCAGGAUAAGUGGGGCAGGGGUUGGGGGUUGCAAAAGACAUGGAGGUAGAAACAGCAUGGCUUAUCAAGGACCCAACUGGUUUGAAAGAUCUUCAGCAUAAGGUGGUGGGAAAGGGAAGAGAGGGGAAGUGGCAGGAGAUCAAGAAGAUGGGAGAGCAAGAAAGAGAAUGCCUUUGAUCUUGAACAGAAGGGCUUCCCUCAUGGAGAUGAGAGGAAAUGCAUAGCAAUGUGGAGAGAGUAAGGGCUGGUCAGUAAGAUUAACAUGGCUGGUGACAACAUAUUUCUCAGUGAAUAACUGAUCAACAUAAGACGAAUGAAGUUGUGUAGGGGUCUCAUGGAGACUGUCCUAAAGACUUAGCAUAAUUGUGGGCAAUGUGAAGGAAAGGCAAAAUAAUUGAUAGAUAGCAUCAAGUACCGAAAGGGAAAAUAUUAAAAUUUGUAGCGUCAGUCCACACAGGCCUCUGAUUUUCUUUAAGAGCACUCAGAUGUGUAGGGGGUCAGAGGAGAUGGGCUCUAAGGUCUUUUCUAAGUUCAAGAUUCCCAAACUCCAUGCCUUGCCAUUAUUCCCUCUUGGGCAUAUGGGAUAUUUUGUAAUGGCUUUUAAAAAAUAUAUACCAUAUAAUUGCCAAGGAAAAUUGUCUAAUUAAAUGAUUUUUAGUAUAUUCACAGAAUUGUGUUAGUAUCAUCCUAAUCAAUUUUGGAAAAUUACUCCCAAAAAAAAUCCUGUACAGGCAUACCUCAAUUUAUUGUGCUUCACUUUACCGUGUUUCACAGAUACUGCGUUUUUUUCCAAAUUGAAGGUUUGUGGCAACCCAGUGUUGAGCAAGUCUAUUGGUGCCAUUUUGCUAAUAGUAUGUGCUCACUUCGUGUCUCUGUCACGUUUUGGUAAUUCUUGCAAUAUUUCUAACAUUUUCAUUAUUGUUAUGUUAUGGUGUUGUGAUCAGUGAUCUUUGAUAUUGUUAUUGUGAUUGUUUUGGGACACCACGAACUGUGCCCAUAUAAGAUGGAAAACUUAAUUGAUAAAUGUUGUCUGCGUUCUGAUUCUUUCAUCAACUGGCUCUUCCCCCGUCUGUCUCUCCCUCUUCUUGGGCCUCCUAUUCUUUGAGACACAACAAUAUCGCAAUUACACCAAUUUAAUAACUCUACAAAGGCCUUUACGUGUUCAAAAAAAAGGAAGAGUCAUAAGUCUGACAUUUGAAAUCAAAAGCUAGAAAUGAUUAAGCUUAGUGAGGAAGGCAUGUAUAAUGCUGAAAGCUGAGAUAGCCAAAAGCUAGAACUCUUGAGCCAAACAGUUAGCCAAGUUAUGAAUGCAAAGGAAAAAUUCUUGAAGGAAAUUAAAGGUGCUAUUCUAGUGAACACAUGAGCAAUAAGAAAGUCAAACAGCAUUAUUGCUGAAAUAAAGUUUGAGUAGUCUGGAUAAAAGAUCAAACCAACCCCAACAUUCCCUUAAGCCAAAGCCUAAUUGAGAGCAAGGCCAUAACUCUUAAAUUCCCUGAAGGCUGAGAGAGGUGAGGAAGCUACAGAAGAAUAGCUGGAAGCUAGCAGAGGUUGGUUCACAAAGUUUAAGAAGCCAUCUCCAUAACAUAAAAGUGCAAGGUGAAGCAGCAAGUGCUGAGAUGGAAGCUGUAGCAAAUUAUCCAGCAGAUCAAGCUAAGAUCAUUGAUGAAGGUGGCUACACUAAACGACAUAUUUUCAAUGUAGAUAAAACAGCCUGCUUUGGAGAAAGAUGACAUCUAAGACUUUUCUAAUUAGAGAUGUCAGUGUUUGCCUUCAAAGCUUCAAAAGAACUGGCUAACUCUCUUGUUAGAGGCUAACGCAGUGGGUGACUUUAAGUUGAAACUAAUGCUCAUUUACCAUUCUGAAAAUCUUGGGGCCCUUGAGAAUUAUGCUAACUAUUCUACCUGUACUGUAUAAAUGGAACAGCAAAGCCUGGAUGACAGCACAUCUGUUUACAGCAUGAUUUACUGAAUAUUUUAAGCCCACUCUUGAGACCUACUGCUCAGAAAAAAAAAAAAUCCUUUCAAAAUAUUACCACUCAUUGACAGUGUACCUGAUCAUCCAAGAGCUCUGAUGGAGAUGUACAAAAAUAUUAAUGUUGUUUUCAUGCCUGCUAACCCAACACCCAUUCUGCAGUUCAUAAAUCAAGGGGUAAUUUUGACUUUCAAGUCUUA
rnacentral:lncRNA from 10 species